CAAUGACGUCUUAUGAUAAACUUGCGUAACCGGUCGAAUAAAAUACCCCCAUCUGCCUUUAGAAAAUGUAAAGAAAUGUUGCGCGUAUAAAUGUAUAAAAUAAAUAACAGAAUCUCAGAAAAUUGAUCGGCGGGAUAAAA